AUUGAACGCUGGCGGCAGGCCUAACACAUGCAAGUCGAGCGAGCGGCGGACGGGUGAGUACUGUAUGGGGACUGCCCGUUAGAGGGGGAUAACUACUGGAAACGGUAGCUAAUACCGCAUACUAUCGGAUUACGCAUAUGGGAUUAGCUCGUAGGUGAGGGAAUGGCUCACCUAGGCGACGCUCCGUAGCUGGUUUGAGAGGACGACCAGCCACAUGGGGACUGAGACACGGCCCAGACUCCUACGGAGGCAGCAGUGGGGAAUUUUGGACAAUGGGGGAAACCCUGAUCCAGCCAUCCCGCGUGUAUGAUGAAGGCCUUCGGGUUGUAAAGUACUUUUGGCAGGGAAGCGGUAUCUGAAGAAUAAGCACCGGCUAACUACGUGCCAGCAGCCGCGGUAAUAC
rnacentral:rRNA from 1 species